rnacentral:tRNA from 1 species
GAAGGUAUAGCUCAGUGGUAAAGUGCAUGCCUACCAUGCAUAAGGUCCUGGGUUCAAUCCCCCAUACAGCCA